AUGGAUGAGUUUUCUUCCCUUUCUUCGAGCAAUGUAGAGCUUUCCCCGAUCUCGACUCUCGGUCUCGAGUUUGCGCACACUCCGGCGAACAUGGCAGCGAUCAUGGCGGGGCGCGGGCAGGGGCUGGAGCAAGAUUUCGAUUUCUUCGUGGUGGUCGACUUCGAGCCGACGUGCGUCAAAGACGCGCGGAUCUUCCCCCAGGAAAUCAUUGAGUUCCCCGCCGUGCUCGUCGACGGCGCCACCGGCCGCAUCGAGUCCGCGUUUCGCAGGUACGUUCGUCCAAAGCAUCACCCUGUGCUGACCCAGUUUUGCAGGGAACUCACCGGUAUCCGGCAGGAGGACGUCGACGGCGGUGUGGAUCUCGGCGAGGCGCUCUGGCUGCACGACGCUUGGCUGAAGGCGGCGACGGCGGGGGCAGGGAACAAGAGACGCGUCCGCUUGGCCGUUGUGACCUGGGGUGACUGGGAUUGCCGGAGCAUGCUAGAGUUUGAGUGCCGCUUCAAGGGCAUCGAGAAGCCCUCCUACUUCGAUCAGUGGAUCAAUUUGAGAGUCCCCUUCCAGGAGGCGCUCGUCGGCGGAGGGAGGGUUAACCUGCAGGAGGCGGUCCGGGCGGCGGGGUUGGACUGGGAGGGCCGCCUGCACUGUGGACUCGACGAUGCGUGCCACACGGCGCGGCUGCUUGCUGAGAUCAUGCGGCGCGGGGUCAAGAUGACCAUCACCGGCUCGCUGGCGCCGCCGCCGCCGGUCCAGCAAUAG
rnacentral:rRNA from 1 species